GCUGCCUGGACAUGAGGGUAGAGUCAUGUGAUGAAACCCUACCCUGAAGACAUGAAGAGAGGAUAAAGGGGCUCUGGGCGGAAUGGGACCUUGACACCAAACAUCCAAAGAGACUGGGGAGGUCUGAGGCAAGGCCACGUGAAGACAGGGAACAAGCUCAGGGACUCCUGGAGCCACCAGGAGCCAAAAUGGUUCUCAACUUGUGGGUCGUGACCCUUUGGGGGUCAAAUGAUCCUUUCACAGGGUUACAUAUCAGAUAUCCCACAUAUCAUAUUUAUAUUACAAUUCAAAACAGUACAAAAAACACAGCCGUGAAGCAGUAAUGAGAAUAGCUUUAUGGUUGGGGGUCACCACAACAUGAGGAACUGCAUUAAAGGGCCGCAGCAUUAGGAAGGCUGAGAGGCACUGUUCUACAAGAAAUCAGCCCUGCUGACUUGAUUUCAGACUUUACACCUCCAGAACCAUAGGAGAAUACAUGUGUGUUGUCCUAAGUCCCCUGUUUACAUACAGUACUUUGUUACCAUGGACACGGGAAGUAACUGAAGUAUAUUACCUACAUGCCUGUCACAUGCUCUGUGCUGACAACUACCAUGUCCUUAAGACUCUGCAGUCUUUUAUUUUCCAGACAGGGUCUUAUGAAAUAACUCUGGCUGUCCUGGAGCUCACUCCAUAGACCAGGCUGGCCUUGAACUCACGGGGAUCCACCUGCCUCUGCCUCCCCAGUACUAAGAUUAAAGGCCUAGCUAAGACUUUGGAUUCUCAUGCCAGCCCCUGCUCUGCCCGAUCCUUCACCUCUGUGUCCCCUCCACCCCAGCCCACUCUAUUCUCUGUGGAGUUAGCAGCCUUGUUCAUUCAACAUCCCCAGGAGGAAAACCAGAACACGUGUGAAGGCUCCACACGCCCAGCAUGAAAGAUGUAGAAAGCCACGCUGGGCAGGAAGAAGGAAAGCAAGUUCCAGAGAGUUCCAGGGACUCAUCAGCACAGACCAAUCCUGGGACAAACUGCUGAGGAGGCAGGGCGAAGUGGAGGCUGGGCCAGAACCGCAGUCCUGCCCUGGAAGAGCCAGGAGCAUGCCUCAGAGCUCCACCGUGAGCUCCAUCCACAGAAGAAAAGGGCUAACACCACACAGAAGCAUUGGAUGCCAACAUAAACUGCAGAUUCCACACUCCCACCUGCUGUGGCUCUGCUAUGGCCUGGGUGUGUCCAUCCCUCAAAGACCAAGGUGCCAAGCCUGCUGCUAUGAGGAGCUCUCUAGCUAAAGGGUGCACACCAGUGACCAAUUCACACUGAAGACAAUAAGGAUAGGAAGACCAUUUCCUCCAUGGAUGGAACAGUAGCCAUCACUGCCAGAACCUAGCCCUUACCUCUGACCAGACUCUGGGCCAAACCCAACUUUAACCACACAGCUAUUACAAAGUUCAAAUUCCCCUAGCUGGUUCGGCUUUCUUUAAUGCGCAGCUCUGGCUUAGGGAGCGGACCCUAUGAAUUUGCCAAAUGGGCACAUGUAAACUGGAUGUAAGCCAAAAACGCACGGUGGUGGCAGCGGCCCACACGGUGCUCCAGGCCGGACCCGACGGGAGACCUGCCCCGAAGCAGACACGCCCAGCUCGGGCCCAUGUUACAGUUCGAAGCACCCUCAAGACCCCGGCCCGCUGUCCAGGUACCGCCAAGUCUGACCCAGGACCCACGUUAACCCCGCUCAGCAGCACACUCACCGCGCCACGCCGCAUCCCGCCAAUCUCUGCGCGCCCGUCCCGCCCAUCGGCGCAUCCAGCCAAUCGCCUCCCGCCCCAUCCCGCCCAUCGCUGCACGCUUCAUCCAGCCAAUCCCCGUGCGCCCCGCCUCUGGACCGAGGAAACGCGGAGUCACGCCUCCGGUUCCCGGGACAACCCAUCACUUAGCACUGGGUUUCCUGUGCGCAUGCGGUGUUUGCGGCUGGGCCUCAUCGGGUGAACUCCUUGGGUAGCGUGGGCCGUAGUGAGGCUGGGCGCCUGGCUCAUGCUGCUCUCCCCGAGCGCUGGGGGUCUGGUGGCUCCUGUGUGGCUGAAGCUUCCCUCCCACUCUAUCCUGCGCUGUGAUUCUCACCCUGACUUCUCAGAUUCCCUUGGAAGCAUGAACAAUUUCUCCCAUCUCACAGGCAGGGAAACAGGCAAAAUGACCCAGCUAGUGAGAAAAGCUAGAAUUCACACUAAGACACCCUGACUGCAAGUGCAUCAGACUUCAGUGGUAACAUUGCUCCUUUUUAAAAUUGCCUAAUUACUCAGUCUGAAACUUAUUACUUAAGGUAGGUUUCUUCUGGCUUACUAAGUUUUUUUGUUUUAUUUUGAAUUUAUUUUGUUUUGUUUUGUGUGUGGGUGUGUUUUGCCUGCACGCAUGUGAGGUCAGUCUCCUCGGAGGCGAGAAGAGAGCGUCCGUGUCACCUGGAACUGGAAUUACAAAUGGUUGUGAGCCAUUCUGAAAGAGCUCUCAACCGAGCUUUCUCCAGCCCCUUGUUUCUGUUUUUGUUUGUUUUUGCUUUUUGAGACAAGGUUUCCCUCGUUCCUGUUUUAAUAAUGAAUUAAAUCAUUUUUUUCCCCCCGAGACAGGGUUUCUCUGUAUAGCCCUGGCUGUCCUGGAACUCACUUUGUAGACCAGACUGGCCUCGGACUCAGAAAUCCACCUGCCUCUGCCUCUGCCUCCCAAGUGCUGGGAUUAAAGGCGUGCACCCCCACCCCCGGCUAAAUCAUUUGUUUUUAAUGUUUCAGUUUGUUGAGUAUUUUUUCCUUUGUAAGCUGGGCUGAGUGCGGAUUUUUGCCUACUGUCUCAAGUAGCCUGUUGCAUAUUUGAUUAUGUUGCAACGUUCUUGUGUUCCAGGAACAAACCCCAUUUGAUGGAUUUGAAACCACUUUGUAGAAUUAAAAUCCAAAGUUACAAUGACACAGAGCUCGUUGUUGUGCAGCCCCUUGACUGGAGCUCUCCAUUUACUCUUUGGUUGCUGUUCCCUUUGGUCUGCAGGACUCUCCUUAGGAUUCCUUACAGUAAAUGUCUAAGGAAAUGGACUCAUCAAAUUUUAUCCCAGAAUAUCUUUAUUUCUACUUUUUCCUUGAGACGGGUCUAAUAUAUUCCAUGGUGUAGCAACAGGGCCUUAAACUCCUGAUCUUUCUGUCUACACCUCUGGAGUGCUGGGGUUACAGGCACGUGCCACUACCCUGAGUUUUAUGCAGUGCUGGAGAGUGAGCCCCGGGGCUUCAUGCAGGCUAAGCAAACACUCUGCCUUCUGAACUACAUCCCUGCCUGGCCCUACGUCCACUUUGUGUUUUGAGCCAGGUAUCUUGCUAUGUGUUCCAGCUAAUCUCCGAGGGCUGAUGUCUGCCUCCAGAGUGCUAGGAUUACAGGUGUUCUAGUCAGGUUUCUAUUGCUGUGAUAAACAUGGCUAAUGGCGACUUGGGGAACAAGGUUUAUUUCACCUUACAGGAACAUCAAGGAAGGACAGGUGUGCUGGUCACCUUGAUGAUGCUCACACACCUGGAAAGAUCUGUUCGCUUUAGUAUUUUUUUUUCUGUUCUUUAGAUAUUUUUUCUCCUUUUUUUUUUAAUGUAUAUAAGUGUUUGCCUGCGUGCACAUCUGCACACCAUGUGCAUGCAGUGUCAUCAGCAGCCAGAAGAGGGCACCAGAUCCCCUGGAAGCAGAGCUACAGGCCAUUGUGAGCGGUCAUGUGUUCUGGCACCCAGGCCUCUGCAGGAGCAGCAAGUGUGUUUGCUUUGUUUUUAACCCUCCGAUCCGUGUCUCUAGCUCCCCAUUCCUUACAUUUGAUCAUUUUAGCUGACUUUCACCUUUGCUGUUCUUUAUUGUGGCCCUUGCUCUAAUUACUUUAAAUCUAAGUCGGCUACAGGUUGUAUUUUAGUCACUAUUUUCCAGCUUCAGAAUAUUUUUGCUACCUAAAUAAAAACCGUCAAAGACU